UACAGAGGGGGCAAGCGUUGUUCGGAAUUACUGGGCGUAAAGGGCGCGUAGGUGGCCUUCUAAGUUGAACGUGAAAUCCCUGGGCUCAACCCAGGAACUGCGUCCAAGACUGGGAGGCUUGAAUCCGGGAGAGGGAUGCGGAAUUCCAGGUGUAGCGGUGAAAUGCGUAGAUAUCUGGAGGAACACCGAUGGCGAAGGCAGCCCCCUGGGCUAACACUGACGCUCAUGCACGAAAGCGUGGGGAGCAAACAGG
rnacentral:rRNA from 1 species